CCAUAACACAUGAAACCAGUAUAGCAGGCUCAUCAUCACACUCUUGCUCAACAGGAAUUUAUUCUUGGGUAAUAAGUUGGAGCUACAAUGUGUGAUUCCACUGAGGGGCUCUAAUGUUCAAAUUUUGAAAAAUGCAGAUGUGAAUCAUGUCUGAGCAGAAGACAAUGUCGACAUUAUUGAUGACCAACUUUAAGUCAAGGAUUAAGAUCCAGUGGCCUUCUAAUGUGUUAUGCCCUUGACUGUAGAAUACAGUGACCAGAUAUUACCAUAUCAGAGUUCUUUCAAGCAGCAGGACAAUUUUUUGGUCAGUUUCCAGUGGCAUUUCAAGGAGUCAGGGACACUGGAUAUAGCUCAUCUGUGUACAGUCAAGUUCUGGCACACAGUCCUAAUUUUUUAUACUAAAAGUGUCUCAAUCUUCCUGGUGAUUGGAAAGCUUUCUACUAAACAUGCAAUAUAUUCUUUGGAAUUGUAUAUUCUCUUAAGUCCUUACGAAUCCUGUUAUCCAUCAAGAAUUCUCAUUGUGGAGACAAAAGACACUUCUAUUUCAGAUAUAAAGGCUGUUCAGAACAGCUGGCUACAACUUAAAAUCAGCAAACCCAACUUGAGAUUAAAGGAUUUAACAAGAAAGCAUCUCAUGAUCCCUUUCUUC